rnacentral:lncRNA from 1 species
CCGCAGACACACUGAAGUCGCUAGACGUCGUGAGGAACACAUCCGGGGAAGAAGACACAGGUGGCUGGUCAUCGAGAGCCCGCUGGGGGAAGAGCACACAGACAGGCACCGGCAGGCCAUUGACCAGCGGGACAAGGGGUGCUCAAUGUCAUCACAAGGGUCCUUAAGAGGGAAAGAGGAAGCCAUGAGGGUCAGAGUCAAAGGAAGACUUGAAGAUACUACACUGAGGACUUUAAAGAUGAAGGAAGGGGCGAAAACCAAGAAUGUGGGAAGCCUCUAGAAGCUAGAGAAGGCAAGGAAACAGAUUUUCCACUAGAGCCUCCAGAAGGAACACAGCCCUGCUGACCCACUGUAAUGUCUGACCUCUAGAUGUGUAAGGGUAGUAAGACUGAAAGUCUCAGAAAGGCACUGUUACAUUCUUAUUCCACAACCAUGCAACUCAAAACUGGGGUCCUCAGCAAUGAGCGAGGGGCGAGAGAAGGCACUGUAUAAACAUGGCACAUCCUCCUGGAAAGUCAACUUUACUCAAAGGUUCUUACACACAGUGACAGCUAGCAGAGUCUAAAGUGCUGACAUUAUGACUUAGAGAUGUGAUAAAGAGAAACAUCUAUUGCAUUUUCUAAAACGUUUGGCAAUUCCCAGUCUACACUUACACUGUCCAAUGGAAAUACAAUGCAAACCAGAAGUGUAAUUUGGCUCGUGUGGAAUGACUUAUCCUGGAAUUUAGAGUUGAAGAUAAUCCUGAUGCUUCAAAGAGAAGAGUUGGAACACAGUCCUUUUUCUAAACAGAGGAAUUGUUGAAUAUGCAACUGGUCCUCUGACUUAACUAAUUAUUUAAUUUGGAAGUUAUAGGCUUUUUAUCACUUGAGGAGCAGCUUUCUCUGAACAAAUACAGUGUCCCCUGGGGUGUCCAAAAUUGUGACAGAAAAGUAGCGCCAGCUUGAAAUUAGCUAGUCAUCACACAGUGGCGUCAUGUGAAUGAAGACUCCCCCAAAUCUAUGACUCUCUUCUAUCCUUAUGAACUAAUUCAAUAAAUAAAUGAGCACUUUCUCAGUUCCCAAACUGAGAGCAGUUUUAAAAAAUAAUGAGAGCCCAGAUAUCUAUUUAGAGAGAUGGCGAGACAGAGGAGAGAGCAAGUUGCACACCACGAAACAAAGGGAAAGAUAAGAAGAGAGAGUGUGUCACUACUUCCCCGUGGCAGAAUCACAAUCUUCUUUUGGAUGUCAUGUUGAAAAGAUUCCCAAUUCGUAGUUCUGUGAGCUAAAGCAGAUGGAUGCUCCAUGUUGGUACAAAUUCCUAUUUGAAGCAGUGUGGUUGCAAAGAUGGGGUUUGGGUCAUUUGAUUUUCUCUGAAAAACAAUCUUGUGUAACUGUUAAAAGAAUUUAUAAUACCCAAUGCAAUGUAUCAUCCAUGAUGCUUCUUCAAAAAUGUUAAAUAAAUGCUGAAACCAGUGUUUCAAA